rnacentral:rRNA from 1 species
AGUGAACGCUGGCGGUAGGCCUAACACAUGCAAGUCGAACGGCAGCACAGUAAGAGCUUGCUCUUACGGGUGGCGAGUGGCGGACGGGUGAGGAAUACAUCGGAAUCUACUUUUUCGUGGGGGAUAACGUAGGGAAACUUACGCUAAUACCGCAUACGACCUACGGGUGAAAGCAGGGGAUCUUCGGACCUUGCGCGAUUGAAUGAGCCGAUGUCGGAUUAGCUAGUUGGCGGGGUAAAGGCCCACCAAGGCGACGAUCCGUAGCUGGUCUGAGACCAUGAUCAGCCACACUGGAACUGAGACACGGUCCAGACUCCUACGGGAGGCAGCAGUGGGGAAUAUUGGACAAUGGGCGCAAGCCUGAUCCAGCCAUACCGCGUGGGUGAAGAAGGCCUUCGGGUUGUAAAGCCCUUUUGUUGGGAAAGAAAAGCAGCAGGUUAAUACCCCGCUGUUCUGACGGUACCCAAAGAAUAAGCACCGGCUAACUUCGUG